rnacentral:rRNA from 1 species
CGCGUAGGCGGUGCGGUAAGUCUUCUGUGAAACCUCCGGGCUCAACUCGGAGCCUGCAGGGGAAACUGCCGUGCUCGAGUGUGGGAGAGGUGAGUGGAAUUCCCGGUAUAGCGGUGAAAUGCGUAGAUAUCGGGAGGAACACCUGUGGCGAAAGCGGCUCACUGGACCACAACUGACGCUGAGGCGCGAAAGCUAGGGGAGCAAACAGGAUUAGAUACCCUGGUAGUCCUAGCCCUAAACGAUGAUCGCUUGGUGUGACAGGUACCCAAUCCUGUCGUGCCGGAGCUAACGCGUUAAGCGAUCCGCCUGGGGAGUACGGUCGCAAGGCUGAA